GGGUGACAGGUGGUGCAUGGUUGUCGUCAGCUCGUGUCGUGAGAUGUUGGGUUAAGUCCCGCAACGAGCGCAACCCUCGCCUCUAGUUGCCAGCAUUCGGUUGGGCACUCUAGAGGGACUGCCGGCGACAAAGUCGGAGGAAGUGGGGAUGACGUCAAAUCAUCAUGCCCCUUAUGACCUGGGCUACACACGUGCUACAAUGGCUGAAACAAAGGGCAGCGAAGCAGUGAUGUGGAGCGAAACCCAAAAAAGCAGUCUCAGUUCGGAUUGAAGUCUGCAACUCGACUUCAUGAAGUUGGAAUCGCUAGUAAUCGUAGAUCAGAACGCUACGGUGAAUACGUUCUCGGGUUU
rnacentral:rRNA from 1 species